rnacentral:rRNA from 1 species
UAACCUGGUUGAUCCUGCCAGUAGUCAUAUGCUUGUCUCAAAGACUAAGCCAUGCACGUCUAAGUACAAACUAAAUGAUGGUGAAACUGCAAAUGGCUCAUUACAACGGUUAUGAUGUACCCGGGAGUUCCGAUGGAUAUUUCCAGUAACACUAGAACUAAUACAUGUCCCUGCGUUUAUUAGUUUCGCACAGUCCGUCGCUGAGUCAUGGUAAACAGUUGAUCGACUCGACGUCCCGGAACAGUUUCCGCCCCAUCAGCUUCGAUGGUUGGGUAUUGGCCUACCAUUGCAACAACGGGUAACGAGGAAUUAAGGUUUGAUUUCGGAGAGGGAGCCUGAGAAACGGCUACCACAUCUACGGAUGGCAGCAGGCGCGCAAAUUACCCAAUGCAGACACUGUGAGGUAGUGACGAGAAAUAAUAAAGCGGGACUUCUGUUUCGCUAUUAUAAUGAGGAAUAACCAAAGGUCAUUCCGAUUAGCAACUGAUGGGAAAGUCUGGUGCCAGCAGCCGCGGUAAUACCAGCGUCAGUAGCAUAUAUUAAAAUUGUUGCAGUUAAAACGUCCGUAGUCUGUACGUCGUCCCAAACUCACUGCAGUCUUCCGUUUUCUUAAUUGAAUGCGGUAGUUUCUGCAGUCACUCCCUUGAUCAAAUUAGGUUGUUCAAGGUAGACCAAGUCUUCAUAUUUUCACAUGGAAUUGGGUGAGGGAACUUAAGAGUUUAAGUUUCUCGUCUUAGGAUCAUCCGGGGUCAUUCGUACUCGUCCGCGAGAGGUGAAAUUCUUGGACCGGACGAAGACGACCAGCAGCGAAAGCAUCUGUCAGGGAUGUUUUCUGCGACAAAGGACGAAGGUCAGGGUAUCGAAGACGAUUAGAUACCGUCGUAGUCCUGACUGUAAACUAUGUCAACUUGGGUCUUGCUGGGCGAUGCUUUGUGAGACCCACACAGAAAUGAAAGUGUAUGGGUUCUGGGGGUAGUAUGGACACAAGUCUGAAACUUGAAGGAAUUGACGGAAGAGCACCAUAAGACGUGGAGCUUGCGGCUUAAUUUGACUCAACGCGGGAAAACUUACCAGGUCAAGACAUGGGCGUGAUUGACAGGCUAAUGACUUUUCUCGAUUCCAUGGAUGGUGGUGCAUGGUCGCACUUAGUUGGUGCAGUGAUUUGUCAGGUUUAUUCCGGUAACGAACGAGACCUCAGCCU